rnacentral:rRNA from 1 species
AACGAACGCUGGCGGCAUGCCUAACACAUGCAAGUCGAACGAAGGCUUCGGCCCUAGUGGCGCACGGGUGCGUAACGCGUGGGAAUCUGCCCCUCGGUUCGGAAUAACAGUUAGAAAUGACUGCUAAUACCGGAUGAUGACUUCGGUCCAAAGAUUUAUACGCCGAGGGAUGAGACCGCGUAAGAUUAGGUAGUUGGUGGGGUAAGGGCCUACCACGCCGACGAUCUUUAGCUGGUCUGAGAGGAUGGUCAGCCACACUGGGACUGAGACACUGCCCAGACUCCUACGGGAGACAACAGUGGAGAAUAUUGGACCAUGGGCGAAAGUCUGAUCCAGCAAAGCCGCGUGAGUUAUGACUGCCUUAGGGUUGUAAAGCUCUUUUACCAGGGAAGAUAAUUACAGUACCUGGAGAAUAAGCUCCGGCUAGCUCCGUGCCAGCCGCCGCCGUAA